UACGUAGGGACCGAGCGUUGUCCGGAAUCAUUGGGCGUAAAGAGCGUGUAGGCGGCUAUUUAAGUCCUGCGUGAAAUCCUGCGGCUCAACCGCAGACGGUCGUGGGAAACUGGAUGGCUAGAGUGCGGGAGAGGAGAGUGGAAUUCCCGGUGUAGCGGUGAAAUGCGCAGAUAUCGGGAAGAACACCCGUGGCGAAGGCGGCAUCCUGGACCGACAUUGACGCUGAACGGCGAAAGCUAGGGGAGCAAACGGG
rnacentral:rRNA from 1 species